rnacentral:rRNA from 1 species
AAUUUGAGGAUUUGAUCCUGGUCCAGGAUGAACGCUGGCGGCGUGCUUUAAGCAUGCAAGUAAAACGGGCCUCGCAAGAGGCAAGUUGCGAACGGCUGAGUAUAAGAUAGGAAUCUACCCCUUGGCGGGGAAUACCCCGUCGAAAGACGGGCUAAUACCGCAUAAGUCCGCAAGGAGAAAGCGCGUAACUGCGCACCGAGGGAUGAGCCUAUCUCCCAUCAGCUUGUUGGUAGGGUAAUGGCCUACCAAGGCUAUGACGGGUAGGGGACGUGAGAGCGUGACCCCCCAGAAUGGGACUGAGACACGGCCCAUACACCUACGGGUGGCAGCAACUGGGAAUCGUGCGCAAUGGACGAAAGUCUGACGCCGCGACGCCGCGUGAGGGAUGAAGGCCUUCGGGUUGUAAACCUCUUUUGCCAAGCACCAAUGAGCUUGGAGAAUCAGCACCUGCUAACUCUGUGCCAGCAGCCGCGGUAAUACAGAGGGUGCAAGCGUUAUCCGGAUUUACUGGGCGUAAAGCGUUUCGUAGGCGACUAGGUAAGUUACACUUCAAAGACCAGGGCUUAACCUUGGGAAGGGGUGUAAUACUACUUAGAUUGAAAGUUCUCGGGGCUACUGGAACUCUCGGUGUAGGGGUGAAAUCCGUUGAUAUCGAGAGGAACACCAAGGGCGAAGGCAAGUAGCUAGGGAAUCUUUGACGCUGAGGAACGACAGCUAGGGGAGCGAAAGGGAUUAGAGACCCCUGUAGUCCUAGCCGUAAACUUUGCUCGCUAGGGAUCCUCGAUUUAUCGGGGGUUCCGUAAGCUAACGCGUUAAGCGAGCCGCCUGGGGAGUACGAGCGCAAGCUUAAAACUCAAAGGAAUUGACGGGGACCUGCACAACCAGUGGAGCAUGUGGUUUAAUUCGAGACGAACCGAAGGACCUUACCCGGGUUUGACAUGCUAUCGUUUAAGUCUCCAGAAACGGAGACCGAUCCGUAAGGAUGAUAGCACAGGUGUUGCAUGGCUGUCGUCAGCUCGUGCCGUGGGGUGUUCCCUUCAGUGGGGUAACGAGCGCAACCCCUUCCAUAUGUUGAAUAUUCAUAUGGUACAGCCUCGCUUUGCGAGGAGGAAGUGGGGACGACGUCAAGUCAGCAUGGCCCUUAUGUCCGGGGCAACACACAUGCUACAAUGAAGCCGACAAUGGGUUGCCAAGUGGUAACACGGAGCUAAUCCCAUCAAACGGCUUCUCAGUAGGGAUUGAGGGCUGCAACUCGCCCUCAUGAACGCGGAAUUGGUAGUAAUCGCGAAUCAGCUAUGUCGCGGUGAAUACGUUCUCAGGUCUUGUACACACCGCCCGUCAAGUCAGCAAAGUUGGGGGCACCCGAAUGUCCGAUGUUCGGGCAGAAGGUGACACCAGCGAUGAAGAUUAAGUCGUAACAAGGUAUCCGUACUGGAAGGUGCGGAUGGAUCACCUCCUUUCUAAG